rnacentral:rRNA from 1 species
GACGAACGCUGGCGGCGUGCUUAACACAUGCAAGUCGAACGGGUCUGCCCUGUUUUUUGCGGGGUGGGUCAGUGGCGAACGGGUGAGUAACACGUGAGUAACCCGCCUCUCACUUCUGGCUAACCGCUUGAAAUGGCGGCUAAUACGGGGUGUUCUGGCUGUGCCGCACUGUGUGGCCGGGUAAGAUUCUCUUUUGUGGGGUUUUGGUGGGGGAUGGGCUGGCGGCUGAUCAGCUUGUUGGUGGGGUGAUGGCCUGCCAAGGCUUUGAAGAGUAGCCGGCCUAGGAGGCGGUGCGGUGACAGUGUGAGAGAGAGUCCGGCCAGACUGCUGCGGGGGGACGCAGUAGAGGGUAAUGGACGGUGGGAGGGGGCCUGAUGCAGCGACGUCGGGUGAGGGAUGGAGGCCUUGGGGUGGUGAACCUCUUUCGCCGGUGAAGAAAGUACUGCUCGUUGUGGUGGAGUUGACGGUAGCCAGGUGAUGAAGCGCCGGCUAACUACGUG